rnacentral:lncRNA from 1 species
AUGGCUCUUUAGACCUAAGAAGCAGUUCUCUUUCCUUUAAAAUAUCUGCAAGUAUUUGAAUUGAUACUGAUAACCGGACUGUAGUGAAAGCUGCUGGGCAGGUCUCAGCAACUCCAUGUCACCGUGGCAGACCAAAUGUGUGCAGAAGUCUGCAAGGAGCAUGGAGAACUUGGAACAGAUUAUCUUCUUAGGUGCACACAGGCUGACAAUCUACGGACACAUACCCUCAAAAUAAACCGGGGCUACUUUGUGUCUGCCUGUGCCUGCCCUUCUUCCUUUUCCACUCAGGAAAUCACAUCAGCAGGGUUGCAGACAACAUACACUGACUCUGGCUAGAACUUAUUGGAUGAACAGUCAGAUCCUGAAAUUUAGGAGUUGAAGCAGCAAGCAGUUUGAUGAUACAAGCCGUGGUGGACCUCUGGGGCCUCAGAAGCAGAUGGUUAUGGAUCUUCCUCUGGAAUGUUGAUGGCUUUAUUUCUCAUCUUUAGUGACCUGUCAUUGGUUGCCAGGAAGACAGGGCCGUGUCCCAAACAUGGACACUGCUGUCACUUCGCUGAUUCAGGAAUACUCUGCAGGGCAAAGGGAAUGUUGGGAGACUAAUGCAUUUUAAAGGGUUUCUUUUUUUUGUAUAUUUUAUUUGAAAUGUUUUGUUUGGUACUAUGGAAAAAAUAAUUUUAGAGACAACAAAUGUUAUCAAUGUAGGUAACAGUUUACCAUAAAAGAGAGACAUAGGAAAUAUUUAUGUGCUGGGCUGGAGGCGUAGCUCAGUGGUAGAAUGCAUGAGACCCUGGGUUCAAUCCCAAGAAAACCUCCUCCCCCUUAAAAAAUGCAGAAAAUAGUUACAGGAUGAAAUUUCAGAACACCACUGAAAGUUUUUAAAGGUUUUGUUGAGGCACAGUUGACAUAUAACAAAGUUCACAUAUUUGAAAUCAUGGUUUGGUAUAUUUUGGUACUGAUGAUGCACAUCUGGAAAACUGCCACUAUGAUGAAGACAAUGACUGUCUUCCACCCCUGGAUAUCUCCUUGUGCCUUUGUGUUCCUUCCCUCAGCCCCUGCCAUCCCUAAGCACCCACUGCCUAUGUCCCUUAGAUUGACUCAAUUUUUCUAGUGUGUCAUAUAAAUGGAAUCAUACAGUGCAUGUCUUCUUUUUGACUCAGUAUGACUACUGUGAGACUCAUCCAUGUUACAGUAGACAGCAGUGCUUUGUUUCUUUAUAUGAGUGACUAAUGCUGAAUAGAUUAUACAGCUUGUUUAUUUAUUAGUUAGCAAGCAUUUUACUUAUUUCUGUCUGGGGAUAUUAUCAAUAAAAAUGUUAUAACAAUUUGUGUACA